AGGGAAUCUUCGGCAAUGGACGGAAGUCUGACCGAGCAACGCCGCGUGAGUGAAGAAGGUUUUCGGAUCGUAAAGCUCUGUUGUAAGAGAAGAACGAGUGUGAGAGUGGAAAGUUCACACUGUGACGGUAUCUUACCAGAAAGGGACGGCUAACUACGUGCCAGCAGCCGCGGUAAUACGUAGGUCCCGAGCGUUGUCCGGAUUUAUUGGGCGUAAAGCGAGCGCAGGCGGUUAGAUAAGUCUGAAGUUAAAGGCUGUGGCUUAACCAUAGUAGGCUUUGGAAACUGUUUAACUUGAGUGCAAGAGGGGAGAGUGGAAUUCCAUGUGUAGCGGUGAAAUGCGUAGAUAUAUGGAGGAACACCGGUGGCGAAAGCGGCUCUCUGGCUUGUAACUGACGCUGAGGCUCGAAAGCGUGGGGAGCAGACAGGAUUAGAUACCCUGGUAGUCCACGCCGUAAACGAUGAGUGCUAGGUGUUAGACCCUUUCCGGGGUUUAGUGCCGUAGCUAACGCAUUAAGCACUCCGCCUGGGGAGCACGACCGCAAGGUUG
rnacentral:rRNA from 1 species